UUCCGGAGAGGGAGCCUGAGAAACGGCUACCACAUCCAAGGAAGGCAGCAGGCGCGCAAAUUACCCAAUCCCGACACGGGGAGGUAGUGACAAUAAAUAACAACACAGGGCUCUUUUGGGUCUUGUUAUUGGAAUGAGUACGAUUUAAAUCUCCUAACGAGGAACAAUUGGAGGGCAAGUCUGGUGCCAGCAGCCGCGGUAAUUCCAGCUCCAAUAGCGUAUAUUAAAGUUGUUGCAGUUAAAAAGCUCGUAGUUGAAUUUCAGGCCUGGCUGGACGGUCCGCCCUUCGGGUGAGUACUGUCUGUGGUCGGGUCCUACCUUCUGGCGAAGCGUCAUGGCCUUAACCGGCCGUGGCGGGGAACCAGGACUUUUACUGUGAAAAAAUUAGAGUGUUCAAAGCAGGCAAUCGCUUGGAUACAUUAGCAUGGAAUAAUGGAAUAGGACAAUGGUUCUAUUUGUUGGUUUCUAGGACCGUUGUAAUGAUUAAUAGGGAUAGUUGGGGGCAUUAGUAUUCAAUUGUCAGAGGUGAAAUUCUUGGAUUUAUUGAAGACUAACUACUGCGAAAGCAUUUGCCAAGGAUGUUUUCAUUAAUCAAGAACGAAAGUUAGGGGAUCGAAGACGAUCAGAUACCGUCGUAGUCUUAACCAUAAACCAUGCCGACUAGGAAUCGGGCGAUGUUGACAAAAUGACGCGCUCGGCACCUCAUGGGAAACC
rnacentral:rRNA from 1 species